ensembl:lncRNA
UCCCAAUCCAGGGAUCAAACUCCCACAUUGAAGGCAGAUUCUUUACUAACUGAGCCACCAGGGAAGCUGUCAACCAUAUAUGAUAAAAAUAGAUAUUUUAAGGUUUAAGGGAAAGAAACCUGCAGCUAAAUUUGAAAUGAUGGACAUCUUGAUCUUGAAAAGAUCUUGCUGUGGUUUGAGAUCCUGUUGGCUGUCUGAAGGGUGAGGUAAGACCAUGGUUAUUCCAUAUUACCUUCUCCUAGAUGUUAUACCGUCAGUAACACACAGGCCCAGGAAAGAAUGUACAGAAGCCCAUUCUUCUGAUUGAGUACCAUGACACCCUUUUUGCAUAACCUCUAGGAAAAGAGGUAUGCAAACCUUUUGUCUUUCAUGGGCAUAUCUUAAAGCUCACCAGUUUGCUACAGUUAAAGGUAAGUGAAGCAGAUUGGAGAGAACUGAGAGGCUGAAGAACAUAUUUGUUUCAACAAGUUUUAUCCAUUCAAGUGUAUUCAUACUUACAUGUACAUUUCACAUCAGAUGGUAUCCAAGUGGAGAGAGACUUGGUGGUACAAGUAUGGGCUAUAAACUUACAGGGGAUUGAAGAGCAGACUAAUUAAAGGCAGUUACUGAAUUUCAAAUGCAAGGUCCCACUUAAAUGUAGGUGGAGGAGGCCACCUCCAUUUAAAUAACAAAGAAGGUAUCAGUGAAACAGAAACAGAAAAACAUUAGGAGAAAUCAGUGGAACCUAAGAUAGUUUGUCCCCCUUGAAUCUUAAAAGCUUUGCUAAGAGAAUGGUGUCACUAAUCAAUAAUGACAGAGCGAG